GGGGCCGACUGGUUUUGACAGCGAGAUCAAUUGGAAUGUAAGCAUGCCGAGCGCUGAUAUAUAGCUCGUAAAUCUCAUAUUUCAUACUUUUAAUAGGCGAUAAUAACUACGCUCUUGCCGCUUAAUCUGAAUUAUAGUAAGAUUAGCCUCGUCCCUACUAGGUAGGGAAGCGAGAUGUCCUUGAAUAGCCCUUGUUGACGGCGAUUCAUUCUAGGGCACCAUAAAUGUCAAUAUAGAAACCGUGAUGCUUUGGCAUGGUUUUAAAACUAAAGAAGCUAAGUGUGUAUUAGGCGGUUUUUGGUCAGAUACACAUCGAAAAUUAAUCAAAAACUAAGCAUGUAGAAAGUAUUGUAAUUACUUGUUUGGACGAGGGUUCGACUCCCUCCGGCUCCACUU
rnacentral:tmRNA from 1 species